rnacentral:tRNA from 1 species
GGAAGAUGACGGGGGUUCUGGGCGUGCCUGAUAAGCGUGAGGUCGGUGGUUCAAGUCCACCAUCGCCCACCA